GGCCGCCUGGCGAAAUGGCAUCGCGUCUGACUACGAUUAAGUUCGAUAUCAGGAGAUUGCAGGUUCGACCCCUGCGGUGGUCA
rnacentral:tRNA from 1 species